GCCACAGGCACUCAAUGCUAGCCUGUGAAAGUAGCUGUGGGGGCUGCACCCUGCAAGCCACAGGGAGAGAGCUACCUAAGGCCUUGGGAUCACACCCCCUGCAACAGCAUGAGCUGGAUGUGAGACAUACAGUCAGAGGAGAUUAUUUUGAAGCUUUAAGAUUUAAUGACUUCCCUGCUGAGUUUUGAAUUUGCAUGGGGCUUGUAGCCUCCCUUUUUUUUGGCCAAUUUCUUCCUUUUGGAAUGGAAGCAUUUACCAAAUGCCUGUACGCUCAUUGUAUCCUGGAGAUAUUAUGGAAUAUGAAAACACACAAAAUGUCUAUACAGUCAAGAUAACCUGUGGAAAAAUAAUGAAGACAGUGGAGGAAAGGCAAAAUGGUAAAGAAGAGAAGAGAGAGAAACAAAAUAAUCAUUUUCCAGCCUACCUAAAAUAAUAACCUGGACUUUCAUAAAACUGGCAUAUCUUCUGUUUUACAUGGAAAAUUAUUUUAUCUUAAGUUUCCAUUUAGUUGAUUAAAAAUAGGGUUAUGAAUGUUAAAUAAGUGAUGAUUUAUUGCAAAGGAAAUAUGUUUCGAAAGGUCGAAUAAUGUCUGUAACAAUAAAAGGCAAACUAAAUGAUUUUCUGUUUUCAAUCCUUUGAUGAAUAGUUAGAUUAAGUAAGACCUAUAUUAUGCUUUCUUUUUUAUUCUCAUAUCUAAAUAAUGCUUAUGACCAACUGAACUCACACUUUUCAGAUCCCUGUCCAACUUGACCUCU
rnacentral:lncRNA from 10 species